rnacentral:lncRNA from 12 species
GAAAGAGAGCAAACUUCCACUGAGUAAGGCCAAUUGGACAUGCAUCUUCCCACCAGCCUUCAAUCCUCUAGGAGGGACCUGGGGUGGGGAUGGGAAAGAUCGUUUGUGUGAGCAUAGCUCCCCCUGGCUGCAGUGGGCCAAGGCCCCAUCUGGGAUUAUGUGAUUUGUGAGGCCAAGCAUAAAAUGCAAAUGCAAGGCUCCUUGUUCAAAAAUCAUUAAGAAUUUCAAGAUAGUGAAAGGGAAAAUAAGGGAAGGGAGAAGAAAUGUGUGGGAAAUAUCAGAAAGGGAGACAGAACGUAAAGACUGCUAACUCUGGGAAACGAACUAGGGGUGGUAGAAGGGGAGGAGGGCGGGGGGUGGGAGUGAAUGGGUGACGGGCACUGGGUGUUAUUCUGUAUGUUAGUAAAUUGAACACCAAUAAAAAAAAAAUUAAAAAAAAAAAAAAAGAAUUUCAAGAUAGUAACAGCAGAGCAUCUAACCAAGUCCGGGGCCCUUCUCAACACAGGCCCUGUAUAACAACACAGGUUGCCCUGGAAUCUGGCCCUGUCCCCGCCCAGAGCACUGAUGCCUCCCAGUUAUUCAAGGAACAGCCCGGAACCAGCAUUCUGCAGGCAAGCUACUUCUUUCUCUUCAGGCCCUCAGGAUCUCUGCUUUUGCAACCUCCUCUGCACAUCGAUGUACCUGAACAUUCUUGGCCCUGGUCACUUGCUACCUGAGGCGUGGCCUUGAUCUCCAUCCUGACAUGGAUGCUUCCUUUAUUCCCCAUUCAGCAAGGCAGACACACAUCAAUGUUUAUUGUUGUUGAUGAUGAUGAUGGUUGAGCAAUCAUUGGGGGGAAAAACUGAUGGAAAAAUAGCCCUAAUCUUUUCCCUUAGUGUAUCCUAAGCUGUUACCUAUAGUUCCAGUUUAAAGCAUACAUCUGGGUCCGUGCUACCAUGUUACCUAUAGUUGGUCUCAAGUCAUUUUCUCACGGGCAUGCUAUCUUCCCAACCAGAUUCUCAGCUCCCCAAAGGCAAAACUGACUACUUUCUUUUGUUUCUCUUCAUCUUGCAUUAUAUUGGACUUGGCAGGGCCAACCUAGAGAUUCAGUUAAAGCUUCUUGCCUAAAUAACCAUAAGUAAUCAAGAAAGGAGGCAUGGAUAGCAUUUGAAAGGUUAAAAGUAUUAGCUGAACUCCCUGAUUACCUCCUUCCAUGCUUGGUUAUUUUCAUUGACAAUGGUAUACCCAGCAGCUUGGCACAAAGGCAUUUCUUGGUAAAGAAUUUAAUGCCACCCCUUCAUGGGUGUGUGAGUAAGAGUCAUUCAUCAUGGUGGUGGAAUUUUUUGGAAGAUAAGGUGUUAUACUUAAGGUGGAAUGCAACUUAGGAUGAAACACAUUUAAUCAAAGAGAGCUUUCUAGAAGGAGUGAGAUUGAUGGUGGGUUUGGGGCAGUAGUAUGCUAUAGUGAGAAAAAAACCUUGACUAGAAGUCAGGACACCUAGGCUUUUGUCCCUGUU